AUCUCCUCUUUCCCUUAUAAGUUGUGUCUCACCGCCAUAAAAGCCCCAUAUUUUCCACAAACAUUAACCACACUCCUCUCCCACCUCUUAAUCCUAAAUCCCAUCGUCAUCAACCACUAACGGAAGGGACGAUUUGGAUGUAGGAUAUCAUGGCUAACGGAAUCAUCUUCUGGUUUCUCAACUCUCUCUCUCUCUCUCUCUCUCUCUCUCUCUCUCUAUAUAUAUAUAUAUAUAUAUAUAUAUAUAUAUAUAUAUAUAUAUAUAUAUAUAUAUAUAUAUAUAAGAAAACCCUAAAUGCUCUACCUAAAUAGCCGACAUCACCAACGUUGGUUCACCACCAUCACCACUUUCGACUUCAGAUAUCGUGAAAUCACUCCUUUCUCCUCCACCUAAAACUUUUUUGUGUAGGCAUCUAUGUGUUUUUGUGCGCAUCUGUGUCACAGUGAAAGAAUCUAACUAGAAACAUCUCAAAUGGAGAACCCACGAGGGAACCCAGUGAUGUUUUUGGUACGUCCCGGGUGCUCACUUGUGAUGAGCCUUUAGGUCCAUUCGAAAGCCAUAUAUUCAGCACAACACACACCACACAGCAAAAUUCGUUUUUUUAUUGAUUUAACAGAUGUUUAAAGUAGAUAUGAAAAUAUCUCGACACCACCACCAUUGGGCUGGUCACAUCCAGUUCUACCACCUUAACAUUAAGAAUAAUUCGCGCCAAGUUUUUAUCAGGUGCUCCGAUCUGGUAAAACCUUCAAUUGGAUUUCUAGAUUUGUUUAAUUUAAAUUUUUUUUCCAUCCUUGAUUUUUAUUUGUGUUAUAAAUCCUCUUGGAACUGCAUUUUCAUCUUCUUUAUGUAAGAGAGAGGAUGUUGAUUUCGUUAAGCACUUAAGUUGUUAUGUUGCUCAAAGUGUUUAAUACAUUUAGAAUCCGGUCAAACAUAGUGUGCGUGUUCUAGGCUUGAAGAGUAAAGUAUUGAAAGUAUCCAUUAGGACAUGACUAUUAGUAAAUUGCAAGUUUUGCUAACCUUAUUUGAUCAUUUCGUUUGUUUAAUGGGGAUUAAGGUCAUAUAUUUGGUGUUUUUUUUUUUACUUUCAGUUUACACACGCCUUUGAUAUAAUGUGGUGUGAAGGUUAGACUUCUUUAUUAAAAUUUUGAAGGGUGUAAAGGUGACAUGAAGCAAAACCAUCAAAACCUAAUCUUAAUCUUGAAACAUGAACCCAACAACACCAGAGUUUGUCUCACACACCGCUUUUAAUAAAUACAUAUAAAUACUCUACUCUCAUCAUCCAAAUCUUCAAUCCCACUUCCUAUUAUGCAACAACAAACUAAAGGAAUCAUCAUCACCUUAUAUUUUCUAACAAUUGUGCACUAUUUUUCGUAUAAUGCCUUCAGUUGACGAAAAGCUUGCCAUGGCCAAGAGUUGCUCUCAUGUUACAGGAGAUAAGGUAGUUGUGUAAACCACCAUUGCCACCGCUAUUCCAACUAUGGCAAGUACAAGAAUAAAAAAACAAAGCAUAAAAAAACUACACCUUUCACUACUCAUGCAUGCAUAUGGAGACCAAACAACCACAAGAUCAUUUGCUAUCAGAGCACUGACUAUCAGAGCACUGACGAACAAAAAAACAAAACAUAAACAAAAUGGCCAACCUUUCACACUCAUACAUAAUAAUUUUGAUAUGGCUGAUGAAUAUGGUUUAGUUUUUUUUAAGGUACAAAUGAGCUGCAAUGGUUGGUUUAAAGUACAAGGAAUUUUAGAUAUGAUAAAUAUGAUGGGUUUUAAGAUUUGAGAAAGUUAACCGUGGACCAAAAAUAAGUUAUUAAUUAUAAUUUGUUUUGAGUUUUUUAUAUUUUAAAAUAUUCUUCAUUUGGUGUUUAAGAUAUGUAAUGGAUGGAACGUUUGACUUCAAUAUAUAUAUUUUUUAUGUUUUUUUUUAUUUA